GAUGUACAUUCUUCAUAAAGCUAGAUAACCGAAAGUAACAAGAAUCCCAUUACACUCCUGAAAAGGCAUCAAGACCCCAAACGCACCUCCUUCAAAAAAAAAAAAGCAGAAACUCUGCUGCAAGAACUCAAACAGGAGAGAAGAAAAUGGACGACGUUUGAGAGGAGACAGGAGCCGAGUGCAGCAGAAGGCUACCACCACCAUGCCACUGAAGGAGAGCUGGCAAAAAGGAGACUGAAAAACAGAGAAGAAGGAGGAGGAGGGGUUGCUGUUGAUUCUGCCCUCCCUCUCUCCUCGCCCUCCUCUGCAUCGCCUCUUCCCUCCUCCUCCCUUCCUCCUCCGCUCCAUCCUCAGCAGACUGCCCCUUUUUCCUGUACAGCGAGACGCAGCCCGCGCCACCAUCUUAGAGCAACGCUGGCAUGAAAUGGAAGUGUGAAGACCAGCCAGUGCAGGUGAAUGUUGGCGGUGCGGAAGGAUACAGACAUGGCGGGCGGCUGGAGGACGAUCCUUCAGACGGGACUAAACAGCAGUGCUGACGGCUGCUGCUGUGACUUUUGGAGCAUUGCAGCUCUGGUUGCAGCUCUGGUUGCAGCUCAGGUUGCAGCUCUGCGAUGCUGCUGUGAUGCAUUAACUGACCCGAGCCGGACUGCGUGUGAACGCCCUCAUCUGAGCGAACAUCCUGUUGGACUGUGAUCGCCGGACACGAGGCUCAGGCUGAACAUCAGCAGCUUCACUAACCUCUCAAGAACUGUUGCGACUAUUAAGGGUUUGGCACUCAAAUCUGCAACUAUUAUUCUUAUAUAUGAUAAAGGGCUGUCAAACGACUCAUAGUUUUAAUCGCGAUUAAUCACACCUUUUUGUUGCAUGUAUCAAAUGUUUACAAACCAGAUGGUCCUGAUUGGGAAUCAGAUGACCUGACUGAUGCAGACUGGUAUACAGUCAGUUUCUACACUGUAACAAAUUUUCCUGUAAAAUUACAGUCAACUACAGACGGCUGUAGUUUCCAGCAUCGUACCGUUAUUUUAUGAAUGAAUGAAUCUUAAUUUCAGACAUAA